GAGAGAGAGAGAAGGGGAGAUGAAGGAGGACAACAGUUUCAGUGUGAUCUUUGCUCCAGUCGUUAAACAGAAUCACAACUUAUUGAUCUGUUUAUCUUUUAUUACUAAUUACAUGUCUCCCCCCCCUCUCCUAUCGAUUAGCUCUUUAGAUUCCUGCAGCUAGAUAAGGGUCAGCACAUCGACAGGUAAGAGGACGACAGGUGAAGUGGCACCUCGACACUGAGGUCAGUUUAGAGUUGGAGCUGAAGACUCUACGCUGAUCCUAGAUCUGUGCCUAAAGGGAAACGUCUAAAUUACAUUCAGCCCCACUGCUGGUGCUCUCCCACUGAGGCAUAGCAGGGAAAAACAACCUACCCACUGAUUCAGACUCUCUGAUGGUUGAGGACAGGACUGGGGGGGGGUUUAGUAACCUAAUCCUAUCAGGACUGGGAGGGGGGUUUAGUAACCUAAUCCUAUCAGGACUGGGGGGGGGGGGGGAAGCCAGAGAGCUGGUCAAAACAACUGGAAAGGGAGGGGUGAUUUUAGAGAGGCGGGACUACUCUCCUAUCCUAUCACACAGGGUGUGGGUGUGUCCUCUUUUUAAUCAGGGUGUUUCUGUGGGUGUGUCCUCUUUAAUCAGGGUGUUUCUGUGGGUGUGUCCUCUAAUCAGGGUGUUUCUGUGGGUGUGUCCUCUAAUCAGGGUGUUUCUGUGGGCGUGUCCUCUUUAAUCAGGGUGUUUCUGUGGGCGUGUCCUCUUUAAUCAGGGUGUUUCUGUGGGCGUGUCCUCUUUAAUCAGGGUGUUUCUGUGGGUGUGUCCUCUUUAAUCAGGGUGUUUCUGUGGGCGUGUCCUCUUUCGCAGGUGUGUUUUCCUCUCCCGUGGGUGUGUCCUGACCAGUCUCCUCCCCUUCUGAUGCAGCUGAAAGGGGUGUGUCUCCCUCAGAAGAAAGGGGUGUGUCUCCCUCAGAAGAAAGGGGUGUGUCUCCCUCAGAAGAAAGGGGCGUGUCUUGCUCAGUGGGCGUUCCCAUCUCUGCUUCAGCUGUCUCUUGAAUUGUUGUUUCGGUUUCAGUCUCCUCCUCCUCUUCCUCCAUCGCCGACCCUUCCACUUCCUCCUUUGGCUCCUCCCCUUCUCUCUUCUCUAGCCCCUCCUCCUCCUCCUCCUCCUCCUCUCUGAUAGCCGUAUCAGUGCCGAGGUGUGUGUGUGAGCCGAGUGCGUGCAGGUGGUCAGCCGGGGGCAGCAGGGUCAGUGACUCGACGCUCAGAGAGUCUGUGUUGUCGUCGGUCAGUAGAGAGAUGUUAGGCUGGGAGGCAGGGGUGAGGCUGGGGGCGAGGACAGACGGGACAGGGGAACAAGACCCGGUUAACUCUCCUCCUCUUCCUCCUGCCUCUCCACCGGAGACCGAAGAAGGAGGGGUGUGCUCCAAGAACGUCUCCUCAUCUGAGGAGGAAGAGGGGUUAAUGUUAGCUCAACCAGUUAGCUGCAGCUACAGACGACCGCUAUCUAAGCCUAGCAUCUAGAGCUAACGAUCGCUACAGACGGCCGCUAUCUAAGCCUAGCAUCUAGAGCUAACGAUCGCUACCGACGGCCGCUAUCUAAGCCUAGCAUCUAGAGCUAACGAUCGCUACCGACGACCGCUAUCUAAGCCUAGCAUCUAGAGCUAACGAUCGCUA
ensembl:lncRNA